rnacentral:rRNA from 1 species
GACGAACGCUGGCGGCGUGCCUAAUACAUGCAAGUAGAACGCUGAAGGAGGAGCUUGCUUCUCGGGAUGAGUUGCGAACGGGUGAGUAACGCGUAGGUAACCUGCCUGGUAGCGGGGGAUAACUAUUGGAAACGAUAGCUAAUACCGCAUAAGAGUAGAUGUUGCAUGACAUUUGCUUAAAAGGUGCAAUUGCAUCACUACCAGAUGGACCUGCGUUGUAUUAGCUAGUUGGUGGGGUAACGGCUCACCAAGGCGACGAUACAUAGCCGACCUGAGAGGGGGAUCGGCCACACUGGGACUGAGACACGGCCCAGACUCCUACGGGAGGCAGCAGUAGGGAAUCUUCGGCAAUGGAAGGAAGUCUGACCGAGCAACGCCGCGUGAGUGAAGAAGGUUUUCGGAUCGUAAAGCUCUGUUGUAAGAGAAGAACGAGUGUGAGAGUGGAAAGUUCACACUGUGACGGUAUCUUACCAGAAAGGGACGGCUAACUACGUG